CCCUCUUGUCACUUCAUUGCACAUUAAUGUCACUCUCCGUGCCUGCCAUAGGGCUCCUGCUUGUUGGGACCUGGGCUGCGGUGCUGCCUUGUGCGUGGGGAGGUGUAUUUGGUGCUCAUCCCCUCUUCUGUGAGCACAAAACUGCAGCGAGCUGCGCCUGAGCAACGGCACAGCGCUCCCAAAAUAGCAUCUAUGCGAACUUCUGCCUGACAUAUGGUAUUUGUUUGACUGUGUAAAUAACCCCCCAAAAACAAGGGCAGCUCCAGUGCGCUCCCAAUUGGUUUUUCACCACGGUGAUGCGAGCACGGGGCGAGUUACUGCGUGAGAUGGCUGAUGGUGCUGUGCGUCUCCAGGUCUGUGCGAAGGGCACUGCUGCGUUCUCCAUCUCUGCCUGUGAGAGGGGCUGAGCUGCUAUGGGGGGCUGUGGCCAAGCAAGGGCCCUCCUGCUGCCGUGGUCCCCGUGCCGUGCUUGGUCAGUGCUCGCGGUGGAAACGAUCACCUACGUGUCGAGUCCAUUGGAUCCAUCAGCAUCAGUCUAUAAAGUGUAAAGCGGGUAACGCAGUCGAUACGAGAAACCAACCCUAUACGAGAUGCCGAGCGACGUAACGCGACUGGCUCCAGUUUCAACAGCAAUGGAUACGAAAGCAAGUCCAUCCAGUGCAGGUAAGAGAUGAGCUCCACUGCAGUAAUACUGAAGUUGCCUUUUUCAGCACUUAGCACAGUGAGGUGGGGCGAGGAAAGGAGAGAUGCUCCAAGAAAGGGCCCGCGGGUGCUGCCGGGGCUGCUGGCACGGAGCGGCGGCACCGUCCCCUCCGGAGCCGCGGGGCGAAGGGGAGCAGCGCCGGCAGCGCCGGGUGAAGUUCCACAGCUGUUUCCUGCCGACCGCUCCGUGUACGCGCCGGAGGAGGACAUGGCUCUGAGUUUCGGGGAUCACAGUAGUGCGCAGUGGGUACAGCAGGGAGCGGACGCUGGCGAGGCUCCUGCAGAAGCAGCUGCCAGCCCUUUCUUAAAGCACUUGGUU
rnacentral:lncRNA from 1 species